AAAAAUUGAAGGAAUGCAAUAGUCAUGAACUACGCUAUUGCUUUUGAAGGUCUCCUUCAAAACCCAUGCUUAAGAAAGAAAUUUUUCUAAAAGUUCAGGUAAGGUGGAAAGAAAGUAUUUCAAAUGUAGCAGUUCAAGAAUGUUCUUCAAGUAUAUGUAUGGUAUUUCAGUUGAAAAAUGUACUAAUAGAAGAGAUUCCAUUGGUGAAUUUUUUACUGUAGAUUCAUGUCAAUAACAUCCAAAAUAAACAGAUGGCAAAAGUACUGCUAUACAUGCCAAACUCUUAGAACACAAAGAUAUAAAUAUUUAUAUACAUUCUUAUAUUUAAGAAUAUGGAGAGAAAGACCAUAAUGUUGUGCUUGGUUUGUGUGCUCCCAAUUCAAUAUCAGCCAAAAAUAUGUACUUUCAACUGCAAAAAAGGUUUCAAAAUAAAGUCACAAGCAAAAAUGAUGACCUUAACAAAUCAUUUAUUACAUGAAAAGAAAGAACAAUAACAAAACAAAAAAACCCUGAACAGCAAGAGGGCUGUGAUUUGAGUGAAUUUAACAAAUAGAAAUAUUCAAUAUUGAAAAUAAUAAAAUUUAUAGAUAGCACUUGAAACAAGAAAAUUAAAAUGUUCAACUGUGAGUGACUUCAAAGAUUGACAUAGGUUGAACAAAACAAGAAAACUUUGCUUUUAAUUGAAGCCAUUUAUUCUUUCUAGUGGACUAUCUUUCUGAUUUAUUAAUAUAGUAGUGUAAAGGAAAUAUGAGAGACAUUUGCUUUUCUAUUCUUUUAUGUACUAGUUGACAAAGAAUGCCAAAUGUUCUGGAACAAGGGAAACAAGGGAAUGCAUCCAAC
rnacentral:lncRNA from 1 species